UGGGGAAUUUUGGACAAUGGGCGAAAGCCUGAUCCAGCAAUGCCGCGUGUGUGAAGAAGGCCUUCGGGUUGUAAAGCACUUUUGUCCUGAAAGAAAUCCUUGGCUCUAAUACAGUCGGGGGAUGACGGUACCGGAAGAAUAAGCACCGGCUAACUACGUGCCAGCAGCCGCGGUAAUACGUAGGGUGCAAGCGUUAAUCGGAAUUACUGGGCGUAAAGCGUGCGCAGGCGGUUUGCUAAGACCGAUGUGAAAUCCCCGGGCUCAACCUGGGAACUGCAUUGGUGACUGGCAGGCUAGAGUAUGGCAGAGGGGGGUAGAAUUCCACGUGUAGCAGUGAAAUGCGUAGAGAUGUGGAGGAAUACCGAUGGCGAAGGCAGCCCCCUGGGCCAAUACUGACGCUCAUGCACGAAAGCGUGGGGAGCAAACAGGAUUAGAUACCCUGGUAGUCCACGCCCUAAAGCGAUGUCAACUAGUUGUU
rnacentral:rRNA from 1 species